AAAUGCUGCGCAAUGUGAUGCUGGAGGAUAUGAAUUGCUCUGUGGUAAACAUGCACUGACUAAGACGACUAUACCUACAACUACAUAUGCGACGUCGCUACUUGACUACUGACUAUGUACAAGACAAAAACGGAUGCACCAAUCAGUGACACCCACGCACUAACACUAUGGAUACUUCUACCCCGGGCAACGAUUUCGUAUCCAUUCAUGACGAUUGAAAUGUGAAGGAUAGAUCCGCGGCUGAAAAUAUUCCUAAGGAUUUGCCUUUUAAAUCCGACACCUCAUAAGAACUGGUGCCAAGUUUCCGCAUAAUAACACAGGGUGUGUACUGCGGUCCCAGUUUAGCAUUAAACUGGUCUCCUGCUGACGACUGACGAAAACUCCGUUUAAACACUCGUUGACCCACAACGAAGGUUGAUUUCAUCACCGUACGCAAGACUCUCUCUAAUUUACUGCGUGAUUCAUCCUUCCUGGCGAUAUCCCGAAUCAGUAAUUCAUGACACAGCUCUUCAUCGUCAAGAUGGGCAAAAUUCAACGAGUAGUACUGAGUCUGCAAGUGGGCUGAAUCCAUCUCGCAACGUUGUUUUUCCACGGAUAAAUCGAAAAAAAGUUGAGAAAAGGUAGCUAAUUUAACUACACGACAACAAUUAUGAUGUGGAAACCGCUAAUUAGUUUAAUGCCAAAUAAACACAGCCUUCUUGUUGUUUUAC